GGGAGAACAUCACCAAGAUGAUAUGCAGGGUUCAAACAGUGAAAGGGAAAGGAGAGUUCCUGAUCCAUCACCAACCAUCUCCAGUCCAGCUGCUGCUCAUGGGAUGGAAACUGUUGCUGCAUAGUAGAAGAAGUUACACAGAAAUAACAACAACUAAUGACAUUAACACACAUUUUGUUGUAAGAUGUAUCCAAGUCCAGGUGUGAGGUUCCAGUGCAGCCAAUGCCAGACAGUUUCCCUCCAGGGAGGAGCCAGAAGAAGCUUCUGCAGCGACUGAGUGAAAGUAGCAGUUCCUCCUGAAGGUCAGAGAUCGCAGCAUCUGAGGGCCUCUUCAAAAGAAGACGUAGUUGAUGAAGGCGUUCUGGAGCAGGACCAGAAAGACCACGACCAAGCAGCCUUGAGAUCUUAGGCAGCGUCUCCCUCAGGUCCCUCUCUAUCUCCCCACACAUCCACCAACCACUGGAACACAUCUCCAAAGUUCUGCUGGACCAGCUCAGCUUCCCCUCAGAAGAAGUGCUGCCACCUGCCAGAUGAAGGAGCCUUUUGAGAGGCAGCUGGCAUCGUGAUUGGACUGUACUUUGGUCUGUUCCAAUCCAGCUUCAGCUCCAGAGACGGCAGGCGGGG
ensembl:lncRNA